rnacentral:tRNA from 1 species
UCCUCGAUGGUCUAACGGUCAUGAUUUCCGCUUGUCACCUUCCCAGGAACAAGCGCGGGAGACCUGGGUUCGACUCCCAGUCGGGGAG